UGGGCUUGUUAGUAUGGUGCUCUCUAUAGC
rnacentral:piRNA from 1 species